UACAGAGGGUGCAAGCGUUGUUCGGAAUUACUGGGUGUAAAGGGUUCGUAGGCGGUGCGGCAAGUUGGGAGUGAAAUCUCUGGGCUUAACCCAGAGGCUGCUUCCAAAACUGCUGUGCUUGAGUGUGGGAGAGGCGCGUGGAAUUGCAGGUGUAGCGGUGAAAUGCGUAGAUAUCUGCAGGAACACCCGUGGCGAAAGCGGCGCGCUGGACCACUACUGACGCUGAGGAACGAAAGCUAGGGGAGCAAACAGG
rnacentral:rRNA from 1 species